rnacentral:tRNA from 1 species
GAGGGUAAUUCUCAGUGGUAGAGUGAGUGCUUAGCAUGCACAAGGUCCUGGGUUCAAUCCCCAGUACCUCCA